AGCGAACGCUGGCGGUAGGCCUAACACAUGCAAGUCGAACGGCAGCACAGUAAGAGCUUGCUCUUACGGGUGGCGGGUGGCGGACGGGAGAGGAAUACAUCGGAAUCUACUUUUUCGUGGGGGAUAACGUAGGGAAACUUACGCCAAUACCGCAUACGACCUACGGGUGAAAGCAGGGGAUCUUCGGACCUUGCGCGAUUGAAUGAGCCGAUGUCGGAUUAGCUAGUUGGCGGGGUAAAGGCCCACCAAUGCGGCGAUCCGUAGCUGGUCUGAGAGGAUGAUCAGCCGCACUGGAGCUGAGACGCGGUCCAGACUCCGACGUGAGGCAGCAGUGGGUAAUAUUGGACAAUGGGCGGAAGCCUGAACCAGCCAUAGCGCGUGGGUGAAGAAGGCCUGCGGGUGGAAAGCCCUUUUGUUGGGAGAGAAAAGCAGCAGGUUAAGACCCCGCUGUUCUGACGGUACCCGAAGAAGAAGCACCGGCUAACUUCGUG
rnacentral:rRNA from 1 species